rnacentral:rRNA from 1 species
CCCUGUGUUUAAACAGCUUGUCUUAUCUUUUCUGAUCUCAGAAGCUAAACAGGGUUAGACCUGGUUAGUACUUGGAUGGGAGACUGCUGGGAAGGUGCAACAGUGGGACAGCACUGGCU